UACCGGCGGCUCGAGUGGUGGCCGCUUUUACUGGGCUUAAAGGGUCCGUAGCUUGAUUCACAAGUCCCUUGAGAAAUCCAUCGGCUUAACUGAUGGGCGUUCAGGGGAUACUGUGGUUCUAGGGACCGGGAGAGGUGAGAGGUACUGCCGGGGUAGGAGUGAAAUCCUGUAAUCCCGGUGGGACGACCUAUGGCGAAGGCAUCUCACCAGAACGGCUCCGACAGUGAGGGACGAAAGCUGGGGGAGCAAA
rnacentral:rRNA from 1 species